UUUCCGUAGGCGAACCUGCGGAAGGAUCAUUAUUGUAUAACCGAGGUGCGAGGCCUGUCGCUGACCCGAAAGGUCGUGCACUCCGGAGUGCCCUCAAACACCUCCAUCUCACCCCGAUGUGCACCACCGCGUGGGUCCCCCUUUGGCUUGUUCGGAGGGGGGCUUACGUUUUCACACAAACUUUGUAUGCAGUAUAGAAUGUAUUUUUUGUUUUUGCGAUCACGCAAUAAAUACAACUUUCAACAACGGAUCUCUUGGCUCUC
rnacentral:misc_RNA from 1 species